rnacentral:rRNA from 1 species
CCUACGGGAGGCAGCAGUGAGGAAUAUUGGUCAAUGGGCUUACGCCUGAACCAGCCAAGUCGCGUGAGGGGAGACUGCCCUAUGGGUUGUAAACCUCUUUUGUCAGGGAGCAAUUGGCGCUACGUGUAGCGUUAUCGAGAGUACCUGAAGAAAAAGCAUCGGCUAACUCCGUGCCAGCAGCCGCGGUAAUACGGAGGAUGCGAGCGUUGUCCGGAAUUACUGGGUGUAAAGGGAGCGUAGGCGGGACUGCAAGUUAGGUGUCAAAUCUACCGGCUCAACCGGUAGCCGCACUCAAAACUGCAGUUCUUGAGUGAAGUAGAGGCAGGCGGAAUUCCUAGUGUAGCGGUGAAAUGCGUAGAUAUUAGGAGGAACACCAGUGGCGAAGGCGGCCUGCUGGGCUUUUACUGACGCUGAGGCUCGAAAGUGUGGGGAGCAAACAGGAUUAGAUACCCGGGUAGUC